ACUUGCUAAUGUUGUAUGGAAGACCGUUGAACACCGUUUAACACCGACCUCUGCUUUUCUUGGAGUCUCUGUGUUCUUUCUCCUUGUCGUGUUUCUCUGCACCAGGCGACUCGGGCAUGUCCUCUUCUAUGGCCUCAUCGGACUCCCAGGCCUAACACACACACACACACACACACAUACAGAAAACACACACACACACACACACACACACACACACACACACACACAAAAGAGGAGAUAAGAUAAGGCUGGAUAAUCUCCCUUCUUGCCCUUUGGCCAGUCAGCUGGUUGGGUUCUGGGUCACCCUGGAGGAGGUGUUCAGUUAGCAGCUGAAAGAGCUCCGGGCCUGGUUGUGGGUGAAGCAGGCGGAGAGCGGUGUGACGGGGAGAAGGUGUGGGUGCUCACGUGCGUGCUGACGGUGUCCUGCAGCGCUCUGUACCACUCGUUGAUGACGUUGUCGUUUUCAGACUGGAUCAGCAGCUCGGUUCCCUGCCGGGUCUUCAGCUGCAGCGGCAGAGAGACAACCACACUUUGAUCAGAAGAAGAAAAAACAAAACAAAACCAACCUUCUGCAUAAACAUUUUGUUCAGAUGCCUUUUUUUUUUUUUGCUGAUUAUUUCUGAAUAUGUGCACGUUCCUCGGUCUGCUUCAGGUUUGGUAGCAGGAGAGAAAGCGUAGUGCCGAGACUGGAAGAGCAGUUAUCAUACAGAGACUCGAGUCAUUUUAACUAGGCCUGUGUUGAAAAAAAUCAAUCGAUUCUCAUAUGAAUUCCUAAAAAUUGAUUAAUAUGUCUAAAGAUCGAUUUUUUUUAAAAUUUUUUUUCUUUUAUUUAUUUAUGUGUUUUUUUUUUCAUCAUUACAUUACAACUUUUGGUUAUUUUUUUGUUUAUCCCCAAAAAAGGAAUGUUUUGUUGGACACGAGAAUAACUGGUGCCAUGUUUUUGCCUUUAAAUAUGUUUAAAUGAUUAUUGCAUAAAUUGUAUAUUUCAUUACUUUAUAUACUGUCUUGGGGUUACAUUUGCAAAAAAUGCUAAAAACCAAAUUCUCAAAAAUUAAAAACCAAAAUAGACCGAAAAUGGAACAAAUAAAAACGGAAUGUGGGAAAAAAUAAAACCGAUUUCAUCCAUCUCUGUUUGCUGCCCUGGAUCUGUUUGGUAAUUCUGACCCACAUGAUGUUUCUGAAAGCAGUUCUAUCAGCAUUCUGGGAGCUGAUUGGUCCUUACAGCAUCAU